ACCUUCUUGGCAUAGUGGUAGUGACCCUACCUGUUGCGUUGGGAUGUGGGUUCGAUUCCCGCACAAGAUA